rnacentral:sRNA from 1 species
AUGGUAGCAACAUUUGUGGGUGGGGCUGUUCUUGGGGCUGCAUUUGGACAGGGCUUUGCAGUGUUACAUGACACAGUUAAGGAUGUGGUAAGCAAAGCCCGUAUGUUCAAACUCAUUCUUAAACACCUCAAAUCCACGUUAGAUUGUUUGGCUCCAACGUUCAACGAAAUAACACAAUCAAACGAACAGCUUGAUCUCCCAGAAGUGGAAACAAAGAUUGUGGUUAAUUCGCUCAGCCACAACGAUCACAUGUCUGUGCGGUCGUCAUUGAUGGAGCCACUUUUGCUGGUUGAUUCGCUCAACCGUAGCGAUUAGAUGUCUGUGCGGUCAUCAUUGUCAUCGUCAUCGUCGUCGCCGCCAUUGCCCAAGGAAAGGUCGUGUUCUGUUAACUUCCUUUUCCCUUCACCCAAGAUGUGUNNNNNNNNNNNNNNNNNNNNNNNNNNNNNNNNNNNNNNNNNNNNNNNNNNNNNNNNNNNNNNNNNNNNNNNNNNNNNNNNNNNNNNNNNNNNNNNNNNNNNNNNNNNNNNNNNNNNNNNNNNNNNNNNNNNNNNNNNNNNNNNNNNNNNAUUUGACAGCCAAUCAUUUUUUUUCCCAAGCCCAUUUGAAUAGUCACUGUUCACCAUUUAUUAUGAAUUAGAAAAAAAAAAAAAAAAAAAAAAACCGAUGAGUCUUGAUAAAGUAAAAAAACAAAAAGUUGGAAUGUGGCGGAUUGAGUAGUUUUUUAUUUAUUUAUAUUUUAAUUUUUGGAUAAGUUAUUUUGAAGACAUGAAUGAAUUAGUAGAAGAAUGUAUUAUCAUUUUACUUGGAGUUGGAGAUAAAUAUAUUUUUAUCGGGUGUUCUCAAGUUUUGUACCUAUUAAAUGUAGAGUUUAGGAAGUCCAGUAAAUUACAAGUUUAGGCAUUUUUUUUCCUGGUAGAAUAAUCAUCUUUGGUUUUUUAUUCUUUCCUGUCAAUUUGUGUCACUGUUUUGUCUGAGUUUGCAAAGGCGAAUUGGUGAUCAAUUGGUAUUUUGUUUAUAAUAGCUAAAUCAAGUACGAAUUGGUUGUGUGCAAAUUGUGUGUGUGAGUUUGAUAAUGAGAAGCGUGGAUUUUGAUUGGUGAACUGCAUAACUUACGUGCAUAAAAGCACAUCCACGGGAUUCCUUUUGUUAAAUGAAUGUCAGUUGCAUGUUAUUUGUUGACCUGUUGGGAAAACAUGCUAAUUUUCGUCACCCUUUAAUGUUCUGAAUUUUGAUUGAUUCUUUGUGUGUUGGCUUAUUAGUUGUAGUUCACCAUAAUUGAGCUAACCUUUUGCUUCUGUCGACAUGUUCUAUUUCAGGGAGUUUGCUAGCUGUGAAACAAGAGACGUGAAAAAGAGUAUGGAUUAUGGUGAUAAGUCAUGUAGGCAGGAGAAUACAGAGAAAAAUGGCUCUGAAAGCUCAAGAGAGAUACCAUCAACAGAAAUGAUUCCAGGAUUCCAAUCCCCUGCGUUCUUUGGUUACACUGCUUUCAGUUCUGAUACUUCUUCCCUUCACAGUCCUCUGGGGGCAGCCAUGCCUUUACCAUCUGCUCCUACUUCCCAACCUAUAGCUAAAUCGGAGUUAGUACCUGCUUUCAGUUCUGAUAAUUCUUCCCUUCACAGUCCUCUGGGAGCAGCCAUGCCUUCACCAUCUGCUCCUACUCCCCAACCUAUAGCUAAAUCGGAGUCAGUACCGAUGAAUAGUCAAUGGCAUAAAGGAAAACAUAUCGGGAGCAUUGCAUUUGGACAUGUUUAUGUUGCCACCAACAGGUAUGCUUGAUUUACUUCUUAUGCUAGUUUCUUUACCUGCAGCAAAGUCUUUAGUACAGUUACUCUUUUCUUACAGGGAAACUGGAGCUUUAUGUGCAAUGAAGGAAGUUGUAUUAAUUCCUGAUGACCCAGGAUCUGCAGAGUGUAUAAUGCAGUUACAGCAGGUCAUUCUCCUGAAUUUGUUGCACUACUAGUUCACUCUAUAACUGCAUAUAUUGUGUUAGGAAUCUAUGGGUAGAACUUACCCUUGAAAACAGGCUUGCAAGGAGAGGGUACCCAAGAGCUUAUAAACACAUUGUUAAGUAUAGACUUAAUCCAUAUGGGACACUAGGAUCAUAACAUACCACCAUGCUCUGUAGCCGACAUCCACGACAGCCCACUCUAUCAACAAUGAUACAAUGGUUGCCCUUUCUCUUUUCUUUUUUUAGCGGCUCCACUCACCUAUCAGUUAUUCAAUGACUUAGUAAAAACCAUUUUUAAUCUAGUCUUUAAGUUGCCCCUCCAAGACUCGACCACAAAACUGGCUUGCAAGGGGAGGGUGCCCAAGAUCUUAUAAAUACUUAAUCCAUGUGGGACAUUAGGAUCAUAAUAUAUUGUUAUCAAACAUAUCAAGCCUUUGUCCUAAUUUGUUGAAGGAAAUCUUUUAGUAAGGACUAAAGAUCUUGGUAUGAAUUGUCUUGAUUUUGAUUUAUGGUUAAUUUUAUGCUACCAACAUGGGUUAAUAGCUGCUGCAAAGUUUUUACUUUUGUUCAUAUCCUAGGGAGUUCUUUGCUACCAUAUCUUGGCGAUAUAUUUUAAACUCAUAAAAUUUCUACUUUUGCGGGAUCUGAAAGAGGUCAUGGUGAGUAGCCUCACCCUCAAUUUUUUGGAGAGGCUGAUUCCUAGACUCAAACCUAUGACCUGUUGCUUUUGCUUUUGGUAGAAGGCACUUGCCAUUGCACCAAGGCUGAUCUCCUUUGCUCAUUAUAUAUGUGUGAAAAAAGAAGGUUUAGCUUGCAUCCCAUAUCUUGUUCCUCAUAAUAGGGCAACCAUUAGCUCAUCCAUUUCCUCAAAUAGCUCAAAGCUUUUGUGGAUAAACUAUGGUAGAUAUGCAUGCAAUGAAUAGUUGGAACUCGAACAUGUGAACAUUGGUGAUGGUUGACCAAGCAGGUGCAGUUAUGCUUAGGCUAAUUAUUGCAUGGGCAUAUUAAUGGACCAUACAUUAUAUUUCUUUAUAUAUGAUUUUACUGGGAUUGGUGUAUGUGUGUUGGUUAAUUUUCCAUCCUUGGUAACUUUCCCUAUAAGGCUAUAAUGGAAAUUAAAACAACCACAUAAGACAACAAUAUUUGAACAUGGUUUGGCUGACUUCAAGCCUAUGUCCACGGGCAAUGCCAACCAAAAUCCAUCAUCAACAAUAUGAAUUACAACCACACUCAACCAAACCUUACAAACCAAACUCACAUACACAAAUAAUACUCACAAAACUCACAAAUAUAUACAAAUCCUCUCACAAUCACAAACUAAUUUACAAAUCUAACACACGUAAACUUAAUCCCAAAACCUUAAUACACCCAAAAACUUUUUCACACAAAAAUAUAUAAACAGUCAAACUACUCUUUGAAGAAAGCUACUCCAUAUUCUUCUAAGAGUCUUCUCCUCUCUCUCUGUGGGAUAACCCUUUGCAACAAUACUUAUUUAUAAGACUCUAAUUUUUCCUUGAUGGACAAGGAAUAUCCAAUUACUUCUUCAAUAAGGAAUACUUUUUCCUUCCAUGCCAAGGAAAACUCCUUUUCUUUUGCACCAAGUAAAAAGCUUUUCCUUUCACUCCAUGUAAACCCAUUAAAGAAACCAAAUUCAAAUAAUUUGAGGCAAUUUGUCCUCUUUAUCUAUUUAUUUAUAUUUUCAAUUUUCACUAGGAAGGUUUUGCAGUAUAUGGUGUGGAUACCUUAAUCAUGAGCAUUAUCUUUUUUUUUUUUCUUUUUUUUUUUCUUAAAUCAUAUUAGGAUAAUGCCUUCCUCUAUAUGUGUAAGUCUGUGUGUUCUUGGUGAACUUUUGUACUUCUAUGACUUCGGAACUUCCCCAGUUAAUUGAAACAUAUAUUUUUCAUUUAUUUAGACUUUAAGAGUACCUCAAUCCCAUGCAUUAUCAGUUAUCCUUCUUAUUUUUUAUAAAUACACACACACUUUGCAUUUGAGGUUGUCACCCUACUAGUGUUCUUUUUCUUGUGGCCUUUUAAUUCUGCCAUCAAAUCCCAGGACUCUCACAUUAAAAAUUUUCCUCAUUGAGAAAUGUCAAUGAAUUAAUAUUUUGGCUUUGAAGAUUCUGCAUGAGUUCUCUAUGAUACAUGAACAAGCCCCCCCUUUCUCCUUGCUCAUCUGAGGAUUUAUUUGAAUAGAGGAUCUGUCCUAUGUGCUUUGCAUACAAUGAUGUAUUUAGUCAUGCAAUCCUUGCUCUAAGGUCUGCACAUUCUUUCUCUCUUCCCCCAGAGAUGGGGGGGGGGGGGGGGGGGGGGGGGGGUGGGGGGGGGGGGGGAAGGGUAGGUAUGACUGUAAUUUAGAUCUGUGUAAGAUAAGUAAACUAAUUUUGCAUUGUGAUUUGACUAUCAAAAUGUUUUGUAUAAAUAGGUACUGGUUAAACCUUUGGAGUCGGUGGCAGAGUCAUGUUGAAGGUUCCCCCCCACUCCCAAGAAAAAAAUAUUUCUGAGUUAAACUAACAACUCUAAUUAAAAAGAAAAAAAGAGAGAGAGAGAGAGCAUAACAUUGGCAAUGUUCCUAUUGAAAAAGAAAAAGAAAACUAACUUAGGUAGUUCCUCAAAAAAGAAAGUUUUUAGCAAAAAUAAUCUAUUAAUUUUUAUUAACUGUUCCUUUUAUCAUAGUUGUUGCUUUCAUUAUGCGGAUAAGGAUCUUAUAUUAUAUUUUAUGUAGAUAACGAGUUCUUGUUAAUAUGUAGGGUUCUGUAGAAGGCACCUUUUAUUUCUUGGAUUCUGUAAUUAUUCAGAACAAUCCUAAUCCACGUGAUGUGAUUCAUUAGAAGAAAAAAGUAUCUUAGUUGAUUGAUGUUUGGCCAGUGAAUUUUGUUUAUGAAGUUUGGUCUAAAAAAUGCUUAUCUGUUUCCUGCUGUCUUUGUUCUCUGUGAGUCGGGAGUAUGUAUGACAUGUGUUCUUUGAUGUUGAGCUUUAAAUUUUCUUUUAUAUAUAUAUAUAUAUAUAUAAUUUUUCUAUUUAUUUAUUUAUUAUUAGUAUGAUUGUUAUUAUUAUUACUCUUUUGGUAAAUUAUCUUUAUAAUUAACAGGGUUCUUUCUGUUUUUAAAAUUAUUUAUUUGGUUUUCUAGCCUCAUGCAUCUAUUACUCCUAUUAUUGGUUUCAUGAAAUCAAAUUUCUCAGCCAGCUGAAGCAUCCAAAUAUCGUACAGUAUUAUGGUAGUGAAAUAGUGAGUACUCUCCCAGUUUCAUGUUUAGACUUUCUCAACAUUGUUUAUAGUAGUAUCCUUGAAGCAAUGUAUGAAAUUACUGUUAUGCAUAUCCAGGCUAAUGACCGGUUUUAUAUAUAUCUGGAGUAUGUUCAUCCUGGUUCAAUCAAUAAUUAUGUUCGUGAACAUUGUGAAGCCAUAACAGAGCCUGUUGUUCGCAAUUUUACUCGCCAUAUCCUCUCUGGGUUGGCUUACUUGCAUGGCAAAAAUACAAUUCGCAGGUACAAUUCACAUUUAAUUUGGUUUGUUGAAACAUCUACAUGGUGUUGCAAAUUAGAAUUUAACACUUAUGUUUGUGAAAUUUCUAUUUAUCUCUUCAGUGUGGCAUUGGUCUUGUGGUUAAUUUGCUUCAUAUGACACUUUAUUUGACAUUUGGAAUUUAUUUCUUUUCUUGUGUUGAUAGGGACAUCAAAGGGGCUAAUUUGCUUGUUAAUUCAUCUGGAGUUGUCAAGCUUGCUGAUUUUGGGCUGGCUAAACAUGUGAAUUUGUCUUCUUUUCAUCUUCUUCUUUAUUAUUGUAUCAUGUUUCAUAAUGGUUUCUCUUUUAAUGUAGUCGUUCUUCCUUUCACAUCUAGUAGAUUGUAUUUCUGCAUCAUAUUUUUCUUCCUGUGUAUGGAUUCACCUUAGCAGUCCAUAAUCUUCUUGAACUUUUGGUGAGAAAAUUUCUGGACUUCACCUAGGUGUUCCUAUUUUUUCAUUAAAGAUUUUAAAAACUUCUGGAUAGCUUUCUUUUAAAAAGUAGAUAAUUUGACAUUUGUAUGCUCAAAUGUUCAAUUGUGAUUGACUCUAUGGUUGUGACAUCAUUACACUACACAGAUUCUGCUUUCUCGUAACAGGGGUCAUGCUCAAAAGUUCAAUUGUGAUUGACUCUAUGGUUAUGACAUCAGCAUGACCCCUGUUACAAGAAAGCAGAAUCUGUGUAGUGUAAUCCUUAGUAUGAUGAAUGCUCUUGUAAAAUAUUACAAUUAGUAAUGUUGCUUUUCUUUCCGUGUUUUUUAUUCAAUUCCCUACUUCAAGCAUUUAGGUGGAUGCUGAGGUGCCUGCUUUUAAAUUAGUGAAUCCUUUGGUAGGACAUUGUUGUUAUUUCCAGUAGCUAAUUACCCUGUGGCCACAGUAAUGAGCUGAGGAUACUUCAAAGAAAUAUGGGUGAUUAAUUGGGUUAGCGGUCAUACCUAAUUCUAUAAGUUGGUGUCUCGUCAUGUUCAUCAUUAUUACCAUUCUUGGUCUCUUUUAUUGUUGUUGCCAACUUACCAAUAAAAUAAAAUAAAAAGAAUUGAUGUUGCCAACUUGCCAUUAUAAAUAAUUCGCUUUCUGGGAUUCUAGUCGAUGUUUCUAAUAUUGGGCUUAAGUAACUUGGGACUAGUUGUUGCACUGCUUGCUGGACCAGCUGCUAAUCUUUCUAUUAGGGGAACUUAUCACUGAAUGGCUCCUGAGGUAUUUUCUUGCUGCUACAUCAAUUUGUCAUAGACCUUAUCUUUGCCUACUGAGAUCAUUGUCUUUCUGCAGAUCUUCAAACCUGAUCUUUAUGCAGAUCAUUGUCGUUGUUCUGAUCUUGCUCUUGCUGUAGAUAUUUGGAGUUUGGGUUGUACUAUUAUUGAAAUGAUCACUGGAAAACCUCCUUGGAGUGAGUUUGUCGGGGUACGUACCCACUGUUUCUUUAUAUACUUUAUUGAUCAUGAAACUUUCAACCUGCAGUAUUACAAUGGAAGUUGAUGUUUCUUGCAUAUUUAAAAUUAAAUUUUGAUUUAAAAAAAAAAAAAGAUCGUGCAAUAAGACCUCAUUGUAUUCAGUUCUUGAAAGAUUUAUAUGGUUGGAUUGUUGUUUUGCAUUAGCUGCUCUGGUAUGUGUCUUUCCCAUCUAAGUUACCAACUUACCAAUGACUGAAUGAGGGUAAGAUCAAGCUACAUUGUUAAAGCAGUUCAUUUAUGCUGAAUGGAUGUGCUUUCCCACUAACAGAAUGAGUGUUAAAAUAUAUAAAAAAAAAAAAAAAAAAAAUUUUCCUAAAUUCCUUUUUGGAUUGUUAUUUGAUGCGCUAAGAAAUCAAUAAAUGAUGUCCUUCAAUUCUUCUAUUAUGCAAAAACAACAGAACAUGAACUUUUUAAUCAGAAAUGUGUUUUGUAUUUAUUGUCUUGUCUGGAAAUGCUGUGAAAUGAGGUAAUUCAAAAUGAUGUGAUGGAAGAUCUGUGCUUACAAGAUCAAGCGGGUAUUGAUUGAAUUUUUUUUUUUCCUCUUAAAAGUUUUCCUGGAAAUUUAGUUUUUUCCCCAGAGAACAAAAAAAUAAAAAUAAAAAAGCACACAAUAUUUAUGAUAAAAAUAUAUAAUGUGCAAGUUCUUCCUUCCUCUCUUUUCCCUGAUGUUCUUAAUUCAUACCUUCCUUUUUGGGCUCCCCUUGAAGCGGUUCCCACUUUGGCACUGCCCCCUGCCAAAUACGUUUUAUUGGCAGUGUACUUGUUGGUCACUAACUAGUGGCUAAUUUUGUAGUGGUAAAGUGAAGUUUAUAGUUUCAUGUAUGUGAUGAAACUUGUAGUCCGUUUGUUAUUAAGUACAAUUCAAGUGUCGUGAUAAAUUUAAGUGAGGUGGACUGAAUUUAUAUGUGUGAAUCUUACCACAAUCUUUCUGUUACAACAGUGACUUAGGAAAUUAUAUAUAUAAUUCCAGUCCUAUUUAGAUUUGAUUUAUGAUCUCUUUUCAAUAUUUAGAUUUGUCAUUUCUGUAUAAAUCAAGUUAAGGGACAUUGUAAUUCAAGUAAAUCAAUAAAACUUAUAAUUCACAUAACAUGUCCAGGCUAUCAGAUGUGGAUGAAGAAGAGUGUGUGCUUAUUUAAAUGUUUUUGGAGUUAUGAGAUGAUUAUGGCUGGCAUGUCCACCGAAUUGGGAGUUCAUCUUAGAAAUGUUUAAUGGUAAUAAGAAAAAAUAGACCAAAUUAUUUUUGCCUGCUAGUAGCAGAAUAUCAAUCAAUUUCAGUGUUGAUUUUCCCACCUUUCUCAUGUGGGUUCCAUCACCCAUGAUGGAGGAGGGACGACUGACGAGCAUUUGUGGCAUAUGUUUACGAUGUAUCUGGUGGCAUUGCAAUGUCAUUGUCUACUCAUAGGAGAUACUGAAGUGUGGUAAUCGGAUGACAUUUCUUAUUAUUUCAUGUUGUUACCUAGUUCUGUAAAGUUUGGCAAAUUUUGGCAACUUUUUGCCUUCUGCAUUCAGCCGUAGCUUUUGUCUGCUGUCUUUGGAUAUAUCAUAGUGGAUGCUAUAUUGUAGUUGGAGUUGCAUUAAUCGGGUUAUUUGCAGUUAGAUUUUCCCUCUCUUGUUUAAGUUGCAUUUAUCAUAUUUGAUGCAGCCUGUAGCUGCGUACAGGGCAACGAAGGAUGCCCCUCCCAUAUCUGAAACAUUGUCAUCUGAGGGCAGGGAAUUUUUGCAGUGCUGCUUGAAGAGAAAUCCUGCAGAGAGACCAUCUGCUGCAAUAUUACUAGAGCAUCGUUUCCUGAAGAACAUGACGGGAAGUUAGUUCAACGUUUGUUGGACCAAAAUUCAUUGUAUACCAGUGGAGGUGUCAACUUUCAAUAAGCAGAAAGGUCAUAGGCAUCUAGCCCUUUAGCCUUUUCUAUUUUUUUUUAGUUGAGCAUUUGAAUGAGGCUUAAUAAAAAAGAAAUAGCUAGGAAGUCUGUUUUUGGCUUCUUUAAUGCUUUGUCCAGUUGUCCUUAAUUAUUUUGGAGAAGGAAAUGUUAAUAGAUCAGAUGUCUAGAUCAGAUGUCCUAAAAGUAUCGGUUUAAAAGCUAUUUAAAAAAAAAAAAAAAUUGUUGGAAAAGGUUAAAAAAAAAACAAUUAAUUAUUUUGACAAUUUUUUUAUAUUUUUCAUAAAGGUAGCGUUAAAUCUUUUUUAAAAUAGUUUAUUAAAAAUUAUUUUGUAGAUACCUAUUAACAAGAUCAAUUAUAUUGUUUAGCACUUUGUCCUUAGGGCUUUAGUGAAGACGUCAGGGAUUAGACCCUAUGGUAUACUCGUGGAGGCGGUGAUAGGCUAAAAGGCCGUUAGCAUCUAGUCCCUUGUCAUUUUAAUGGCACAGACCUUUGCUUUCCUUUUAGCUGAGCAAUACAAUGGAGCUGUCUAGCAUUUUAAUUAUUUUACUCAAAAAAAAAAAAAAAAUCUAGUGCUUGAAACAACCUUGACGCCUUUAUAUGAACGUUAUAAGUAAACGUUUUUUUUACUAGGAAUUAUAAGUAAACGUUGUUUUUUUUUGUGAGAAAGAGUAAACGUUGAUAUAACUAAGAAGAUUACAUAAGAUAUUGGUAGUAAUUGGUUUUAGAUUAAAGUAUACAUUAUGUUUCAAAAUUUUGAUUUGGACCCUUUACGUGUAAUACUUGCACUACAUGGUAUUUAGUGUUUCAUGGAAUAGUUAAACAAUGCCGCAAUAAACUGCAUUUAAAUUCUAAAAUUUUUUAUUAAACUGCCUCAAGAAAUUGGCAGUAAUUGGUUUUAGAUUAAAGUAUACUUUAUGUUUCAAACUUUUGAUUUGGACCCUUCACAUGUAAUACUUGCACUACACGGUAUUUAGUGUUUCAUGGAAUAGUUAAACAAUGCAAUAAACUGCUUUUAUCAUGUAUGUGAUGAAACUUGUAGUCCGUUUGUUAUUAAGUACAAUUCAAGUGUCGUGAUAAAUUUAAGUGAGGUGGACUGAAUUUAUAUGUGUGAAUCUUACCACAAUCUUUCUGUUACAACAGUGACUUAGGAAAUUAUAUAUAUAAUUCCAGUCCUAUUUAGAUUUGAUUUAUGAUCUCUUUUCAAUAUUUAGAUUUGUCAUUUCUGUAUAAAUCAAGUUAAGGGACAUUGUAAUUCAAGUAAAUCAAUAAAACUUAUAAUUCACAUAACAUGUCCAGGCUAUCAGAUGUGGAUGAAGAAGAGUGUGUGCUUAUUUAAAUGUUUUUGGAGUUAUGAGAUGAUUAUGGCUGGCAUGUCCACCGAAUUGGGAGUUCAUCUUAGAAAUGUUUAAUGGUAAUAAGAAAAAAUAGACCAAAUUAAUUUUGCCUGCUAGUAGCAGAAUAUCAAUCAAUUUCAGUGUUGAUUUUCCCGCCUUUCUCAUGUGGGUUCCAUCACCCAUGAUGGAGGAGGGACGACUGACGAGCAUUUGUGGCAUAUGUUUACGAUGUAUCUGGUGGCAUUGCAAUGUCAUUGUCUACUCAUAGGAGAUACUGAAGUGUGGUAAUCGGAUGACAUUUCUUAUUAUUUCAUGUUGUUACCUAGUUCUGUAAAGUUUGGCAAAUUUUGGCAACUUUUGCCUUCUGCAUUCAGCCGUAGCUUUUGUCUGCUGUCUUUGGAUAUAUCAUAGUGGAUGCUAUAUUGUAGUUGGAGUUGCAUUAAUCGGGUUAUUUGCAGUUAGAUUUUCCCUCUCUUGUUUAAGUUGCAUUUAUCAUAUUUGAUGCAGCCUGUAGCUGCGUACAGGGCAACGAAGGAUGCCCCUCCCAUAUCUGAAACAUUGUCAUCUGAGGGCAGGGAAUUUUUGCAGUGCUGCUUGAAGAGAAAUCCUGCAGAGAGACCAUCUGCUGCAAUAUUACUAGAGCAUCGUUUCCUGAAGAACAUGACGGGAAGUUAG